AGAGAGGUACAGAGGUUCGCAGUUCUGUCCGCGCUGUCACGAGUGAGUACUUGUGAACAGAAAGCGGCUCUCAUCGCUACUCACAGUGUACAGCCAAACCAGAGGCAGGCGAGCUACUGGAUCUACCAUUAUUUUCUAACGGUGAUCUUCGAAAUGAAGUGUAUCGGCUGCAAAGCCCGUGUGCUUCUGCCUCGGGCUUCUUGCAGCCUUUGACUCCCACUAAACCGAGGUCGGGGCAGCCACUCUCCACUUUGAAUCUCCUUCAUUAAAGUCAGCAUUUCUUCAGCUCCCUCACACAGCCAAACUUCCAUUGAAGCAGAACGUGCCCCUGUGCACUUGAACCCUGUGCACUUGAACCCAACAUAAAGGCCAAAGAGGAUAAAAGAUAACACAGCUUUUAAAAGAAGUGGGAACUUAACCUUGCUGUCCCCACUGGUGGUUUGUUGUGCUUAUGGAAGCACCGCACCAGACACCACUGCCUGACACUUCACAAACUUUCCAUUUCAGGGAGAGCCAUGAGCCUUUAGAAGCAAGCAUAUACACAAGUAAGGCAAGGGCUUAAGAGCUUUUGUACAGAUCUAGACCCCAGAUCUUGGGGUACCUGAUCUUGGGGUGCUUGCUGGGGAUAAAGUAUAACAGCAUGAUCAGAUUAAAUCUGUGUUUUCUACACGUCUGAAGCCAAGGACAAGAUGACCUGUUCCUCUAAGCAACAAGCAAAUGCUGAGGUGGAGGGCAAAGGAACUCGUCAGUUCCUAAGCUUGCUAUCAAGUUGAAGGUUUUCAUGGGAAGAAGAAAAAUAAUCAGGGAAUAUGAGAACACCCACAGCAGCAAUACACAGCCCAGAUAUUACGAUGCUCAGCUGUUUCUAAGUCAAAGUUCAGGUCACUGGUUUUAUUCCAACCCUUGAAUUCAUUUUCUUUUUUUCUUUUUUUUUUUUUUUUUAAUUUACAUGAAGAAAACUCUCAUUUGGACCAUUCCUUCUUCCACAGGUAGUUUCACAUGAAAAAGGUUGCAGAAACUGAGUUGUGCUCAGGGAAGAGAUUACUGAGUAAGAUCACUUCCAAGACAAACACUAGUUAAGUAACAUAUUAGAAAUGGUUGGAGAGGUAAGCUAAAGUCUGAAGAGCAACACUUCCAUCUUCUGGGACACAAAGAUGUUAUGCUCCUGCAUUUUUGAUGACCACUGAUGGACAGUAAUCACCUCCAUAACUAUGCAAAUGAUGACCUCAUUGUAUUUACUUACUGCCAGGAAAAGAGAAUGGGGCCUUGAGAAGAGAUACACAAGUAGGUAGACAAAAUUUAAUCAGUCUCUGUAUUGGGAACUGUUAGUAGUUGAGCUAGUGUAUUUCAAGUGUUUUUCAGUUUUUCUAUUGUGCUGCCCUUAAUGAUAUUAGAAUUAACUUGAUCCACAUCUGGUACAAGCACACAACUUUAUUUCUGUCAAAUUAUCCUAAGCGCAUGAGCACAAAGGUAAAAGGGCACAGAGAGAUUGUCUGCUUUAGCAGAAAGUGUGUCGGUACAGGGAAAGUGCCUCAAACCUUGCUAACUCUGCACCAGCAGAAUGAGCUUGAUCUAGGUCAGUGUGCCACAUCAGAUGCCACAGCUGGUUUCAGUCCUGUAGGGAGGAGCCCUUAAAGCCAAUUGAGGUGCAUCACUGUACUGUGGCUUUAUCUUCAAAUGAAGAAAUUCCCACUAGCAAAGGCAUCACCAUUCUACCCCAAGCAGGCUUGUGAUCCUGAAGAAAAUCCACUGCUAAGGGAGGAUUGUUUCCCUUUAGGCCUACACCCCCUUGAAAGAGACCACAGGUUGGUGCUGAAGGCUGCCAGAGCCUUCAGGGUUUGAGGAGAUGCAGAGACACCCUGUGGUGGCAGGAAGAAUAUGGUCAGAAUUCGAACCAAUCUUGACACAGAACUGAUCAGAAAAGCUGCAUCCUGGGGACUCAGAAAUCUUCCCCAAGUUGCUGUUGUUUCAUUUCCCCUCUCCUGACCUGCCUUCCUGUCUGGCACCUUUGCCCUGCAUGUUUGCCCGACAGUCCCUGCCACAAAGCUUUACCUAUAGCUCUGUUCUUUAUCUCAGGAUCUACCAUCUGGCUGCAGCCUGCUGUGUGUACUGUGAUUGGAGGGUAGCUGUGGAGAUGCUCCAUUUGUGGAAAAUGAUUUUCCUACAUCCUGCCAGACCUGGACAAGAGGGAUUAGCACUGAAAGAUCCUGCAGCAAAAGCCUUUGAAGCUCACUUCUUAGAGCAGGUGCUGCUGUUACAACAGAUAAAAUGAGCUGGCAGAAAGGAAAGAAGGAACUUACAGAAGAAAGCACAGGAGAUGGGAAACACAACCGAAAGAAGCGGGAGCGAGUGUUUAAGAAAAGAUUUUCUGGACUGAGUUUCUUCUCUGGGUCUCCUAGGAGUAAACUCCCUCAGGGAAGGAGUCAGAGUUUUGAAGACAAGAAGAGAUGCUUACACAGGAAAGGUUCCAAAAAGCUGAAACCAGCACGGGAAGAAAUAUGUUCUUUAAGGCAACCACAUUCUGGAAAAAUGUGUCCAAAAUGUGAAAUCCUUGUCUGUCGAAAAUGUGAGACCCUGCAUUCCGAAAGCAGUUUCAUUGCUCACAGCCUACUUGAUCACUACGACAGAGGAGGACGUGGCAGCUCUACUACACUGAUUACAAAAAGCCAGAAAGUAUGCAGAGGUGAUUAAAGAAUUGCUGUGGGUGCCCUGUUGAUACAUGACUACAUCAAGAAAGCUGAAGCUUGGAUCCAUUUAGGCUGAAGCCUCAGUUUGCACAAUCUGAAUGCAGCAUCAGCAACUGCAGCUGUGACGCUGUUCAUACUUACCAUAUGUAGCAGAUACACAUUCACUCAUUUAACCAGUAUAAAGUCUGUGAGCAGGAACUGUGAGUGUCUCAGCUAUUAAGAACAGGAAACGAUUUCAAAAGCUUCAAAGAGUUUUAUUUUUCCCCUCAAGGAAUCAAGAUUAUCACACUGAGCUGCGAAAGAGAAAGCAAGUAUUAAAUGCAGAACAUUACAGUUGUUUGUAAUGUGCAGGUAUGUUUCAGUGUUACUUGUGGU